rnacentral:rRNA from 1 species
AGGGUUUGAUUCUGGCUCAGGAUGAACGCUAGCUACAGGCUUAACACAUGCAAGUCGAGGGGCAGCGGGAUUGAAGCUUGCUUCAAUUGCCGGCGACCGGCGCACGGGUGAGUAACGCGUAUCCAACCUUCCGCUUACUCGGGGAUAGCCUUUCGAAAGAAAGAUUAAUACCCGAUGGUAUGAUGAGAUUGCAUGAUAGCAUCAUUAAAGAUUUAUUGGUAAGCGAUGGGGAUGCGUUCCAUUAGGUAGUAGGCGGGGUAACGGCCCACCUAGCCUACGAUGGAUAGGGGUUCUGAGAGGAAGGUCCCCCACAUUGGAACUGAGACACGGUCCAA